GUCUCCUAGUUGUCACAAAAUAUUAGGAGUCUGACCUGCCCGGUGAUAGAAAUAUUUAACGGCCGCGGUACCCUGACCGUGCGAAGGUAGCAUAAUCACUUGCCUUUUAAUUGGAGGCUUGUAUGAAUGGUCGAACGUAGGCAAAGCUGUCUCUUUUGUGUUCCAUGGAAUUUGAUUUUUAAGUGAAAAAGCUUAAAUUUUGUAGAAAGACGAGAAGACCCUGUUGAGCUCAGAUCUUAAUUUUGAAAAAAUGCGUGACGUGUAUAGAACGUAACUUCGUUAGGUAGAUCUUUGUUGGGGCGACAAAGGAACAUAAGAAGCUUCCUUAAAGUAAGGAUAUCUUGGCAAAGUGGUUGAUUUGACCCAGCAAUGCUGAUUAAUGGAUUUAGCUACCACAGGGAUAACAGCGUAAUCUUCUUUGAGAGUUCAUAUCGAAAAGAGGGGUUGCGACCUCGAUGUUGGACUAGGGUAACAGGGAGGCGUAGAAGCUUCUCGUUCGUUGGUUUGUUCAACCAGUAAUUCCCUACA
rnacentral:rRNA from 1 species